rnacentral:lncRNA from 1 species
AUUGCAUUUCUGCUGUCUAGUGGGAGCAUGAGGUAUGAGAAGCUGAGAGAGAGGAGCUAUGGGAAACACACAUUUCACCUUCCAUUUAAUUAUAAUUAUGAGCUGAAGGACCAUUUUCAGAUCUGGUGAUACAUCUGUGUCUUGUGUGUUGGAAUAGUUAUCCCAACUCAGACAUUAAGUAUGGAGCUAUGUGAAUUUCUUUUUUCGCUAGUCAACGGAGAUAGAGAAAAGAUUGCUGUAAAUUUCUGGGGCAGGUGGCAAGCUGGUUUACGGA